rnacentral:rRNA from 1 species
GCAAGUCCGACGUGAAAGGGGAGCAAUCCCCCGGUAGGGUGGCAAACGGGUGAGUAAGACAUGGGUGAUCUGCCCUGGAGAUGGGGAUAUCCCUCCGAAAGGGGGGGCAAUACCGAAUAGUAUCCGGUUCCGUGAAGGGGGCCGGGGAAAGGGAGGCCUCUGGUACAAGCUUCCGCUCCUGGAUGAGCCCAUGGCCCAUCAGCUAGUUGGUAGGGUAAAGGCCUACCAAGGCGACGACGGGUAGCUGGUCUGAGAGGACAACCAGCCACACUGGCACUGAGACACGGGCCAGACUCCUACGGGAGGCAGCAGUGAGGAAUAUUGCGCAAUGGGGGCAACCCUGACGCAGCAACGCCGCGUGUGGGAAGAAGGCUUUCGGGUUGUAAACCACUUUUGCCCGGGACGAAAGGGGGGACCUGAAUAAGGUUGCCCGAUGACGGUACCGGGAGAAUAAGCCACGGCUAACUCUGUGCCAGCAGCCGCGGUAAGACAGAGGUGGCAAGCGUUGUUCGGAGUUACUGGGCGUAAAGAGUCUGUAGGUGGUCUGUCAAGUCUUUGGUGAAAGGCCGUGGCUUAACCAUGGGAAUGCCAAAGAGACUGGCAGACUGGAGGCUGGGAGAGGGAAGCGGAAUUUCUGGUGUAGCGGUGAAAUGCGUA